rfam:Ixodes scapularis strain Wikel colony gcontig_1108379367168, whole genome shotgun sequence.
GCCAAGAAAAGCCGAGCGGUCUAAGGCGCUGCGUUCAGGUCGCAGUCCGGUCUUCCGGGCGUGGGUUCGAAUCCCACUUCUGACA